AUUGAACGCUGGCGGCAGGCCUAACACAUGCAAGUCGAACGGUAACAGGGAUCAGCUUGCUGAUUCGCUGACGAGUGGCGGACGGGUGAGUCAUGUCUGGGAAACUGCCUGAUGGAGGGGGAUAACUACUGGAAACGGUAGCUAAUACCGCAUAACGUCGCAAGACCAAAGAGGGGGACCUUCGGGCCUCUUGCCAUCGGAUGUGCCCAGAUGGGAUUAGCUAGUAGGUGGGGUAACGGCUCACCUAGGCGACGAUCCCUAGCUGGUCUGAGAGGAAGACCAGCCACACGGGAACUGAGACACGGUCCAGACUCCUACGGGAGGCAGCAGUGGGGAAUAUUGCGCGAUGGGGGCAAGCCUGAUGCAGCCAUGCCGCGUGUAUGAAGAAGGCCUUCGGGUUGUAAAGUACUUUCAGCGGGGAGGAAGGGAGUAAAGUUAAUACCUUUGCUCAUUGACGUUACCCGCAGAAGAAGCACCGGCUAACUCCGUG
rnacentral:rRNA from 1 species